rnacentral:rRNA from 1 species
GAUGAACGCUGGCGGCGUGCCUAAUACAUGCAAGUCGAGCGAACAGACGAGGAGCUUGCUCCUCUGACGUUAGCGGCGGACGGGUGAGUAACACGUGGAUAACCUACCUAUAAGACUGGGAUAACUUCGGGAAACCGGAGCCAAUACCGGAUAAUAUAUUGAACCGCAUGGUUCAAUAGUGAAAGACGGUUUUGCUGUCACUUAUAGAUGGAUCCGCGCCGCAUUAGCUAGUUGGUAAGGUAACGGCUUACCAAGGCAACGAUGCGUAGCCGACCUGAGAGGGUGAUCGGCCACACUGGAACUGAGACACGGUCCAGACUCCUACGGGAGGCAGCAGUAGGGAAUCUUCCGCAAAGGGCGAAAGCCUGACGGAGCCACGCCGCGUGGGUGAUGAAGGUCUUCGGAUCGUAAAACUCUGUUAUUAGGGAAGAACAGAUGUGUAAGUAACUAUGCACGUCUUGACGGUACCUAAUCAGAAAGCCCCGGCUAACUACGUG